UUAUUGACCAUAAAUGUAAGUAUUUACAUCUAGACUAGCAAUUCUGUUCCACUGAUUUAUAUGCCUCUCCUUGUGCCUGAACUGAUUACUAUGGCUUUAUUUAAUUUUUUUAAAUGUUUAUUUAUUUUUGAAGGAGAGAGAGUGAUCGUGAGCAGACAAGAGGCAGAGAGAGGGGGACAGAGGAUCUGAAGCAGGCUCUGUGCUGUCAGCAGAGAGCCAGAUGCGGACUUGAACUCAUGAACCAUGAGACCAUGACCUGAGCUGAAGUUGAACACUUACCCGACUGAACCACCCAGGCACCUUUGAGAAAAGAGAAAAGAAGAUGCAACCUCAUUAUGGUGGUAACUUUGCAGGCAGAGAAUAUAUCAGCAAAGGCAAGCUUAAGCCUGGCUGUAAGACGAGGCAACUGUGUCUAGUUUCCCUGGAGUGUGAAAGUCACAGACUGUAGCGGACUCUAACAUCUGGAAAACUCAGCCAAGCACCAAAGUUAAGUAUGUGCCAAGUUCUGACCCAGUUAAAAGACUAAACCUGAGCUGCUGUAUGUAAGAAGUGUUCUGCUGAAGCUCAAGGAUAAUGUCAAGAUCAUAACAAUUAGUGAUUAGUGAGUAAAGAAGCUAAGAAAUUUAGGUGUUUGUUUCUUUAAAAGUACUUAAUAUUUUCACUGUAAUGUUGUAAUCAAUCAAGAGUUUCACUUUUCUGGGGAAAAAAAAACCCACAGAGAAUAAUUUAGUUGGAAAAUGUGCUAAUCUCUUAAUAAAUCACAUCUCUAAGA